UCCCCUGGAGAAGGGAAUGGCUACCCACUCCAGUAUUCUUGCCUGAAAAUUCCUAUGUAUCACAAAGCUGCUGCUGCUGCUGCUGCCAAGUCGCUUCAGUCAUGUCCAGCUCUGUGUGACACCUUGGAUACAGCUGAGCGCACACACACACACUUAACUGAUUCACUUUGCUGUACACCUGAAACUAUCAUAACAUUGUAAAUCAACUACAUUCCCACAGAUUUUUUUAAAAAACAUUCAUUGAUUAUUGACAUCUCCUCUCACCCCAUCACAACCACACAUGAAUUGAGUAGGGCGUUGGUCUGCAUUGUGCCCCUCACACCUGGAUCCGCAUGGGAUUCCCCCGGCACAUGGUGGGUUUGAUGCAGUAUUUGUGGAAUGAGUGAGCCUACCUUGCACCCUGCUCUUGGGUUGAUGUGCAGAGUCUGGCCCUCCCACACUGCUGCUCUGUUGGGGACCCUCUCUGUCCUCACAUCCCACCCUAUGGGCCACAUGUCCCAUCAGAUGUUCCAUAUAUCAGGCAUUCAGUCUGACUUCUUCCUUGGUUCUGGAAAGUGCUGGUUCUGGAAAGUGCUUUCCCCACAUUACUAUAUAGACCAUCCCUACAUUCAAGAAUGGGCUUCCCCGUUGGUUCAGAUGGUAAAGCAUCUGCCCGUGCAAUGUGGGAAAUCUGGGUUUGAUCUCCGGGUUUGGAAUAUACCCUGGAAGAGGAAAUGGAAACCCACUCCAGUGUUCUUUCCUGGGAAAUCUCAUGUACAGAGGAGUCUGGCGGGUUACAAUCCAUGGGACNNNNNNNNNNNNNNNNNNNGCAACUAACACUUUACAUUCAAGGCUCUAGUUAAGCGUGGAACAUGUUUUAGGCAGCUUUCAUACUCCCCACAGGCCCAAACAGUGCUGGCCAUGGAGUAGGUGCCCAAUAAGUAUUUCAAGAAGGAAGAACAAAUGUCAUUUAAAGUGAAUUUAGAAGGCAGCUCCUGCAAUAACUUUAACAGGGCUAAUGAAAGUAUAUGGUGUUCACCCCCAAAGAGAACCCAGGGGACUUCAACAAAAAUUUCCCCUUCAACUACCAAGCAGGUGAUAGGUGGAAAGUAAUGGUAAUAAACUGCUGAAGUUCAUUCUGGUUUUAAAAGUCCAUCUGGUACUCACGCCAUGCUGGCCUGAGAUAAUCAGUGGCUUGGAGCAUGGGUGAGAGGUCAAUCCCGGCUCUCAGGGCAGAUGGAGCCGUGAUGGAUGCAGCAACCUUCAGCUCCUAAUUGUUCCCAGAGAAUUCAGGUAUGAGUCAAGCCCCAAAUCACACACAUGGGGGAGAGGAAGGACAGAAGCCAAGGCGAGAAGUUCAGUCAGCAAAAUUGGAAUCACUUGAGAAAUGGAGGCGAGAGAAGCCCCCCAUCUGAGCCUGCCCUAUAAAAGCCCAAGUGAUGUAUUUUCUUCCGCCAGUUGACUUUUUUUAAGUGUCUCCCUCAUAAGUCAUUAAUAACUAAUUUCACAAUCGCUGCAUCAUGCGACAGUCAUAAAAUAUUGCCUGCACUUUUCCCAGCAAAUUUUAGUAUUGAGCCAAUAAUUGAAUCCAAAUUAUCUAUUAAGUUAAUUCUUUAGUAGACAAUAUUUUACACUUGAAGUCAUUUUUCACAAGUCCUCCGUAAUGAAGUAAUUGUGAAAUUAGCAAUGACUUUCCCCCUCUCCUGAACAAGUAAAAAUAAAAUCGCUGGGUUCAGCCCGGAGGGUGUCAAGCUGUCAUGAGCUCUUUCCUUUCACGUGUUGCCUCUUCCUAGGUAGAACUAGCUCUGUGUCGUCAACACUCAGCAGGAAGACAACAGGACAUGGCUGCUAGACUGUGAGCUUCUUAGGGGCAGCUAUCCUGAGACCACCUCAGGUGUGUCGCCACACGACACCCUCUUCAGCCAGACUCUGGCUUUUAAGAAAACUCUGUUCUUUCUGUCUUUUAAGACUGGUACAAAGUGAACCUGGGGAAUCCGGCCAACUGACUCCUCCCCCUUCUGAGAUCAAGUUUCCACCCACAGGGAUGGGCACCCAUAGCCAAGUUUGUGCCGGUGACCCCGCCCCGAGCCUUCUCGAUGUCUCAUUGCUGACCACACAGAUUAUAGCAGAGUGGACACCUGACCCUGGCUGAGGCCAGCGGAGUCCUUCUUACAGGAAUUUGAACUUGAGUGAAAGAGGCACCAGUUAGUCUCUGUUGGCCCUUUAAAUUAAGGAUAUGAAUUUUUAAUGGUCUUUUCACAGGAUUGCUAUUUCACAACUCCCAGAUGGUCAUGGAUCUGGUGGGGUUGGAGGAAAAAAUUGCAAGAGGGAGAAAGGGAGUGAAGAGAACACUCAGUGUGAGGCCUGGAGGGGAAGGGGGAAGGGGGAAGGAAGUGGAGCAGGACACCCCCACCACNNNNNNNNNNNNNNNNNNNNNNNNNNNNNNNNNNNNNNNNNNNNNNNNNNNNNNNNNNNNNNNNNNNNNNCACCCCAAACCUGAUUCAAGUUCUGGGCCCUCUGAGAACCAAGCCAUACAUUCUGCUGCCCCUGGGUUUCAUGAAAAUAGCCAAAGACCCAAAAGUUAAAAAUAGCUCUUGAUCAGAGCACUUCCUGAGGAUUUAAGUGAAAGGGGGUGCUGCACCCAAGAGAACCAGCAAAAAUUUCUACAAAAUCCCAUCAAGACUCCCACUCAGACAUCUCCAUACCUUUCUCUUCUGCCCUCCACAAAAUGCUUCUAGAUUUGUGGCGCCUAUGGAUGCCACCCCAUUUCUCUCCUCACCACCAAACACUCAUGUGCAAAUAAAGUGACUUUUUCAUUAAUCCCUCACACAGAGUGCUACUUGGAGCCACUGGCAGGACAUCAGAGUCCUGCUUAUAGAAAAGACGUGUUAUGAGCUAAAAAGAUUUGCUACUUAAUGCUUUUGUUCCUGACAAAUCUAUCAUCAAGUCCCCACUUCUUGCAGUUUUUGUUAUAAUCAACCAAAAGGACUUUGCUGCAGAAAAAAUUCCUAAAGCCUGCCCAUGCCUUCGCCUUUGUUAGACAUGCAGGAACAGCGUGAGAUUUGAGGCCAGACAGACCUGGGUGCACACGUCAGCUUCUUUAAAAAUAAAACAAUGAAUAUCGGGUUUCUCCAUUCAGUUGCUGUAGGUGUUGCUGUAAGUUUGGGGUAAGCAGUCUUUCCAGAGUCAGAGUUGUUGUUCAGUCACUCAGUGAUGUCCAGCUCUUUGCACCCCCAUGAACUGUAGCCCAGCAGGCUUCCCUCUCUUUCAGUAUCUCCCAGAGUGUGUACAAAUUCAUGUCCAUUGAGUCGGUGAUGCCAUCCAACCAUCUCAUCCUC
ensembl:lncRNA